rnacentral:rRNA from 1 species
AUUGAACGCUGGCGGCAGGCCUAACACAUGCAAGUCGAACGAGUGGCGGACGGGUGAGUAAUGUCUGGGAAACUGCCCGAUGGAGGGGGAUAACUACUGGAAACGGUAGCUAAUACCGCAUACAAGCGGAGGUGCCCAGAUGGGAUUGUCUUGUAGGGGGGGUAACGGCUCCCCUAGGCGACUAUCCCUAGCUGGUCUGCGAGGAGGACCAGGCAGACUGGAAAUGAGACACUGUCCAGAGUUCUACGGGAGGCAGCAGUGGGGAGUAUUGCACAAUGGGCGCAAGCCUGAUGCAGCCAUGCCGCGUGUAUGAAGAAGGCCUUCGGGUUGUAAAGUACUUUCAGCCGGGAGGCGUUCCCCGCAGAAGAAGCACCGGCUAACUCCGUGCCAGCAGCCGCGGUAAUAC